UGCCCAGAAACUCCUAUCCAUACCUCCUCGUGGUAUUGGCCGGGGUACGAGCAACCUUAAGGAAUAUCGAGUAAUCAACCCCGGAGGG
rnacentral:ribozyme from 1 species